GAGAAAUAAGCAUCUGUGGUUGUGCGAUUAGCUUGAAACUAGUCUGAGGGGGUUCAAGUCCUUCAUUUCUUG
rnacentral:tRNA from 1 species